rnacentral:rRNA from 1 species
CCUACGGGCGGCAGCAGUGGGGAAUAGUGCACAAUGGGGGGAACCCUGAUGCAGCGACGCCGCGUGAGUGAAGAAGUAUUUCGGUAUGUAAAGCUCUAUCAGCAGGGAAGAAAAUGACGGUACCUGACGAAGAAGCCCCGGCGACCUACGUGCCAGCAGCCGCGGUAAUACGUAGGGGGCAAGCGUUAUCCGGAGUUACUGGGUGUAAAGGGGGCGUAGGGGGCAGGGCAAGUCAGAUGUGAAAGCCCGGGGCCCCACCCCGGUACUGCCUUUGAAACUGUCCGGCUGGAGUGCAGGAGAGGUAAGCGGAAUUCCUCGUGUAGCGGUGAAAUGCGUAGAUAUUAGGCGGCACCCCAGUUGCGAAGGCGGCUUACUGGACUGUAACUGACACUGAUGCACG